GGCCGCGGGAAUUCGAUUCAGGCCUAACACAUGCAAGUCGAACGCACCGCAAGGUGAGUGGCGCACGGGUGAGUAACACGUGGGAAUGUAUCCUUUGGUUCGGAAUAACGUUUGGAAACGAACGCUAAUACCGGAUGAGCCCUUAGGGGGAAAGAUUUAUCGCCGAAGGAGCAGCCCGCGUCUGAUUAGGUAGUUGGUGGGGUAAAGGCCUACCAAGCCGACGAUCAGUAGCUGGUCUGAGAGGAUGAUCAGCCACACUGGGACUGAGACACGGCCCAGACUCCUACGGGAGGCAGCAGUGGGGAAUAUUGAACAAUGGGCGCAAGCCUGAUCCAGCCAUGCCGCGUGAGUAAUGGAGGCCUUCGGGUUGUAAAGCUCUUUCGCACACGACGAUGAUGACGGUAGGGAGA
rnacentral:rRNA from 1 species